ACAUCUCAACUCCUCACGGUUUGCCCGUGAUGAGCUUGGACUUUGGGGGUCUUGCCGGCCUGCAGGUUGGCUCCUCUCAAAUGAAUCAGCUUGCCAGUGUUUGGUGGCAUCACAGGUGUGAUAACUAUCUACGCUUGCGAUUGCCCACUAGGUAACCUUCAGCAAUGGAGGUUCGCUGGGGCUCAUAGACGUCUCUCCUUAGCGAGGACAGCUUUUGAAC
rnacentral:misc_RNA from 1 species